UACGGAGGGGACUAGCGUUGUUCGGAAUUACUGGGCGUAAAGCGCACGUAGGCGGCUUCGUAAGUCAGGGGUGAAAUCCCGGGGCUCAACCUCGGAACUGCCUUUGAUACUGGGUAUCUCGAGUCCGAGAGAGGUGAGUGGAAUUCCGAGUGUAGAGGUGAAAUUCGUAGAUAUUCGGAGGAACACCAGUGGCGAAGGCGGCUCACUGGCUCGGUACUGACGCUGAGGUGCGAAAGCGUGGGGAGCAAACAGG
rnacentral:rRNA from 1 species